CCUACGGGUGGCUGCAGUGGGGAAUAUUGGACAAUGGGGGCAACCCUGAUCCAGCCAUGCCGCGUGAGUGAAGAAGGCCUUCGGGUUGUAAAGCUCUUUCGACGGGGACGAUGAUGACGGUACCCGUAUAAGAAGCCCCGGCUAACUUCGUGCCAGCAGCCGCGGUAAUACGAAGGGGGCUAGCGUUGUUCGGAAUUACUGGGCGUAAAGCGCGCGUAGGCGGUGGUCCAUGUCAGAGGUGAAAUCCCGGAGCUCAACUCCGGAACUGCCUUUGAAACGGGACUGCUAGAAUCCGAGAGAGGAUGGCGGAAUUCCUAGUGUAGAGGUGAAAUUCGUAGAUAUUAGGAAGAACACCGGUGGCGAAGGCGGCCAUCUGGCUCGGUAUUGACGCUCAGGCGCGAAAGCGUGGGGAUCAAACAGGAUUAGAUACCCCAGUAGUC
rnacentral:rRNA from 1 species